rnacentral:rRNA from 1 species
UGGGGAAUAUUGCGCAAUGGGCGAAAGCCUGACGCAGCGACGCCGCGUGAGGGAUGAAGGCCUUCGGGUUGUAAACCUCUUUCAGCAGGGAAGAAGCGAAAGUGACGGUACCUGCAGAAGAAGCACCGGCUAACUACGUGCCAGCAGCCGCGGUAAUACGUAGGGUGCAAGCGUUGUCCGGAAUUAUUGGGCGUAAAGAGCUCGUAGGCGGUUUGUCGCGUCUGCUGUGAAAACGCGGGGCUCAACUCCGCGCCUGCAGUGGGUACGGGCAGACUAGAGUGCAGUAGGGGAGACUGGAAUUCCUGGUGUAGCGGUGGAAUGCGCAGAUAUCAGGAGGAACACCGGUGGCGAAGGCGGGUCUCUGGGCUGUAACUGACGCUGAGGAGCGAAAGCGUGGGUAGCGAAC